UCCCGACGGCGAGCGCGAUCCAAGCCACGGGCAACAGGACCCAAAAGCGAAUCGAACCAUCCAGAUAUAGCUCCGGCGCCGCCAUUGUGAAGAUUCAGAACCGGUUUGUUAAAAAAAAUUUAACAAGAAAACCGGAAGUGACCUCAGAGAGACGAGUCUACCAUUUCCGUUGCGUUUCCUGAUUCCGAAACACGGAUACGAAACUUCACUGGAAACAAUUACUAGUAAAUUAUUUGCAAGCUAAUAAGUUUGCAGUAGAAAAGCUUGGACGAGUUCAGAAUAACAUUCCAAGUACCCGGAUGUUCAACCCGGAAGUAGAUCCCCACCUUGUCACCACCCUAAACUACAAAGGGAAACAACCAUAGAGAUUAGCGGCUAGAGCAUCCUGCCAGAGCUGAGCCCCGCAAAUGGCAACCUCCUAUCAGUACAGGUACCAAGAAACCAUGGCAAUGGCAGCUAUACGAGAGGAAGCGAUAGGAAAAUGCUAGAAAGAAGCACUCUUUUUGUUCUUACUGUGUUUUCCCUGUGGGACGUUUCCCUCUGGGAUUUUAUUGGGGUUCGAUUGAGUGCUUGAAGUGCUGGGUCGCGUUCCUGACGCCCUCCAUGACCUCUUCCAAAGCUUGUAUAUAUAAGAAUUACUUGGUGCCUGGGACAUAUUCUGCUGUCGCUCUCUUUGUACCUUUGGAAGAGCACAGAAAAACGCGUGUGUUGGACUAUAAAAACAGGGCAGCUUGCAGAAGGAGGAUCUGUUAGAGGAAAAGAAAGGAAGAAAUCAAUUUAGCCCCCCCCCCCCUUUAUUUCCUAGUUGAUCAUAACUUGUUUCCAGGAGCUGCGGACCAGCCAGCGGUGAACUUCUCCUCCUCCUUGUCACCAUCACUCUUUGGGGACUCCAAUGGCAAUGCUGGAUGAGCAACAAGUGAAAGAGAAGGUGCUGCGCUACGAAGGUUUCAUAAGUGAUGUUCUGCAAAGAGAUCUCCAGAAAGUGUUGGAGCAGCGGGAUGAGGUCUAUGAGAAGAUCGCCCAGUACCUACAACUGAAGAGCGUGAUUGAGCGGUUACAGGAGACAGGAAAUCGGGAGCUGGUGACCCAAGUUGACCUUGGCUGCAAUUUUUAUGUCAAUGCUGAAGUGCCAGACGCUGUAUCUUUUACCCACCAUCUUUGUGGUUCUGGGGUAUGGGUUCUAUGCACAGCUGACACUGCCUGAGGCAUUGGCCUUCAUUGAGAAGAAGACCAAGCUGUUGACCGAGACCGCUGAGACCCUCACCACAGACUCCGCCAAGAUCAAAGCCAAUAUCCGGAUGGUUUUAGAGGGCUUGCGCGAACUCCAGGGAUUCCAAGAUAUUUCUGAGGAGAACUGAAGAGAAAUCACCCUUUAGGCACCUGAUUUCCUGCCCUCCCCAACCACGAAGAGGAAUUCCAAAGUUCGACAAGGUUGGAAGAAGAGCUGGACUCUUGUGCAUUUUGGCAGUCGCAGGAACUGUGCUGGAGAAACGCCCCUCAGUAAGGCCUGGCGAAUGGGAAGGGGUGAUUGGAAAUUGGGGAGGUGGCGACAAGAGGUAUUUCUUAUGGGCAGGUUUGUUUCUAGGCCUGAUCUCCCCGCUGCUUCCUGAGGCACUUCCUUGGAGCGAGCUCAUCUCAGUUGUUAAAAGCAAUAAAAAAUCCUGUGUACUUGG